rnacentral:rRNA from 1 species
CAGUAGCCGCGGUAAUACGUAGGUCCCGAGCGUUGUCCGGAUUUAUUGGGCGUAAAGCGAGCGCAGGCGGUUAGAUAAGUCUGAAGUUAAAGGCUGUGGCUUAACCAUAGUAUGCUUUGGAAACUGUUUAACUUGAGUGCAGAAGGGGAGAGUGGAAUUCCAUGUGUAGCGGUGAAAUGCGUAGAUAUAUGGAGGAACACCGGUGGCGAAAGCGGCUCUCUGGUCUGUAACUGACGCUGAGGCUCGAAAGCGUGGGGAGCAAACAGGAUUAGAUACCCCGGUAGUCCCUGUCUCUUAUACA